GUAGGGGGCGAGCGUUGUCCGGAUUUAUUGGGCGUAAAGAGCGCGUAGGCGGCUCGUUAAGUUGGCUGUGAAAGGUCUGGGCCCAACCCAGAUAAGUCGGCCAAAACUGGUGGGCUUGAGGGCGGUAGAGGAAGGUGGAAUUCCGGGUGUAGUGGUGAAAUGCGUAGAGAUCCGGAGGAACACCGGUGGCGAAGGCGGCCUUCUGGGCCGUUCCUGACGCUGAGGCGCGAAAGCGUGGGUAGCGAACUGAAUUAGAUACUCAGGUAGUCCACGCCCUAAACGAUGGACGCUAGGUGUGGGGGGUAUCGACCCCUUCCGUGCCGAAGCUAACGCAUUAAGCGUCCCGCCUGGGGAGUACGGCCGCAAGAAA
rnacentral:rRNA from 1 species